rnacentral:rRNA from 1 species
CGUAAAGGGACUGCCGGUGUUAAACCGGAGGAAGGUGGGGAUGACGUCAAGUCCUCAUGGCCUUUAUGACCAGGGCUACACACGUACUACAAUGGCCGAUACAAAGGGCAGCGACACUGCGAGGUGAAGCCAAUCCCGUAAAAUCGGUCUCAGUCCGGAUUGGAGUCUGCAACUCGACUCCAUGAAGUUGGAAUCGCUAGUAAUCGUGGAUCAGCAUGCCACGGUGAAUACGUUCCCGGGCCUU